AGCUCCAAUAGCGUAUAUUAAAGUUGUUGCGGUAAAAAAGCUCGUAGUUGGAUUUCUGUUGAGGACGACCGGUCCAUACCACGUAUGCGUAUCUGGCUCGGCCUCGGCAUCCUCUCGUGAAACGUUUCUGCGCUUGAUUGCGUGGAGCGGUUUGCGGGACUUUUACUUUGAGGAAAUUAGAGUGUUCACGGCAGGCUUUCGCCAGAAUAUACUAGCAUGGAAUAAUACUAUAGGAUUUCGAUUCUAUUUUGUUGGUUUCUAGAAUUGGAAU
rnacentral:rRNA from 1 species